UUUUUUUUUUCUCCUUUUCUCCUUUCAUCCCCAUUUCCCCCAUUUUUCAUAUAUAUAUAUUUUUCCCCCUUCUUUUAAUAAUGCCUCGUUAUUCCCCCCCUCCUAAAACCAAGGGCAGCUCCUGGGGUCAGCGCUCCCCCUCCAGAUGGAAGGAGCUGGAGCCCAUCCACUGCCCUCGCCCACAGCUGGCCCAGUGUUCCCAGCAGGAGCCCAGCACUGGCCAAAGCCAACCCUUACUGGAGGUUCCUCUUUCUCACCCCAUGGCCUGGGGCCCCCAGAUCUCUUUGCAGCUCCGUGAGCAGACUCUUGCCUCUGGGAUGGGAGCAGAGAUGAUGGCUCGGGGUCCCUGGGACAGCUCCUUGCACCCCCCCAGGGGUGCUGCAGGUAUUUGGGGACAGACCUACCGGGUGCGCUGUGGAUGCCGCAAGGAUCCCAUCGGGUUGCGCCGUGCCAAUAAAGCUCUUCUUGCUGCGG
rnacentral:lncRNA from 1 species